rnacentral:rRNA from 1 species
GACGAACGCUGGCGGCGUGCUUAACACAUGCAAGUCGAACGGAGAAGCGCUUCUUUUUUUGGUGGCUCGAGUGGCGAAGGGGUGGGGAACACGUGAGUAGCCUAACCUGUACUUUGGUAUUGGUUCACGAAACUGGAGCUAAUACCAUAUAGGAUCUCCUGCGUCAUUGGGAUGGUGGGACUGGUUCGGCGGUUGUGGAUGUACUGGCGGCUCAUCAGCUUGUUGGUGGGGUAGGGGCUGACCAGGGCUUCGACGGGUAGCCGGCCUGAGAGGGCGACCGGCCACACUGGGACUGAGACACGGCCCAGACUCCUACGGGAGGCAGCAGUGGGGAAUAUUGCACAAUGGGCGCAAGCCUGAUGCAGCGACGCCGCGUGAGGGAUGACGGCCUUCGGGUUGUAAACCGCUUUCGGCUGGGAAGAAGCGAGAGUGACGGUACCUGCAGAAGAAGCACCGGCUAACUACGUG